CACUGCAAUCUAAGAGGCCAAGGAUUUGAAUACUCUAUCAUUGGAGGAGCUGCUUAGAUCUCUCAUGACUCAUGAACUGACCAUGAAGUAACACACUGAGGAGGAAACCAAAAAAAGAGGACCAUAGCUCUCAAGUCAAUAGCUCAGGAAGAAGAAGACACAGAAAAAUCAGACAAUAGUGAGAAAGAUGAGGACUUGGCCC
rnacentral:lncRNA from 1 species